rnacentral:rRNA from 1 species
GAUGAACGCUAGCGGCAGGCUUAAUACAUGCAAGUCGAGGGGCAGCAUGGGUAGCAAUACCUGAUGGCGACCGGCAAACGGGGGCGGAACACGUACGCAACUUUCCCAGAAAUGGUGAAUAGCCCUCCGAAAGGAGGAUGAAUACACCGUAAGAUAGAGAGGUGGCAUCCCAUUUUUAUGAUAGAUGCGUCGGCUUGGGAUGGGCGUGCGCCUGAUUAGGUAGUUGGCGGAGUACCGGCCCACCAAGCCUACCAUCAGUAACUGGUGUGAGAGCACGACCAGUCACACGGGCACUGAGACACGGGCCCGACUCCUACGGGAGGCAGCAGUAAGGAAUAUUAGUCAAUGGACGCAAGUCUGAACCAGCCAUGCCGCGUGAAGGAUGAAGGCCCUCUGGGUUGUAAACUUCUUUUAUCUGGGACGAAAAAGGGGCAUUCUUGCUCAACUGACGGUACCAGAGGAAUAAGCACCGGCUAACUCCGUGCCAGCCGCCGCCGUAACAC